GUGCUCACUUUGGCAGCACAUAUAUGAAAAUUGGACCCAUACAGAGAAGAUUAGUGUGGCCCCUGCUCAAGGAUGACACGCAAGUUCUUCGUGGAGAAUUCCAUGUUU